rnacentral:rRNA from 1 species
UACAGAGGGUGCGAGCGUUAAUCGGAUUUACUGGGCGUAAAGCGUACGUAGGCGGCUUUUUAAGUCGGAUGUGAAAUCCCUGAGCUUAACUUAGGAAUUGCAUUCGAUACUGGGAAGCUAGAGUAUGGGAGAGGAUGGUAGAAUUCCAGGUGUAGCGGUGAAAUGCGUAGAGAUCUGGAGGAAUACCGAUGGCGAAGGCAGCCAUCUGGCCUAAUACUGACGCUGAUGCACGAAAGUGUGGGUAGCAAACAGG